AACGAACGCUGGCGGCAUGCCUAACACAUGCAAGUCGAACGAUCCCUUCGGGGAUAGUGGCGCACGGGUGCGUAACGCGUGGGAACCUGCCCUUAGGUUCGGAAUAACUCAGAGAAAUUUGAGCUAAUACCGGAUAAUGUCUUCGGACCAAAGAUUUAUCGCCUUUGGAUGGGCCCGCGUUGGAUUAGCUAGUUGGUGGGGUAAAGGCCUACCAAGGCGACGAUCCAUAGCUGGUCUGAGAGGAUGAUCAGCCACACUGGGACUGAGACACGGCCCAGACUCCUACGGGAGGCAGCAGUGGGGAAUAUUGGUCAAUGGGCGAAAGCCUGAUCCAGCAAUGCCGCGUGAGUGAUGAAGGCCUUAGGGUUGUAAAGCUCUUUUACCCGGGAUGAUAAUGACAGUACCGGGAGAAUAAGCCCCGGCUAACUCCGUG
rnacentral:rRNA from 1 species